GUGCUCAUUUCAGCAGCACAUAUAUUCAAAUUGGAAUGAUACAGAGAAAAUUAGCAUGGUUCCUGGACAUGGAUGACAUGCAAAAUCGUGAAGCAUUUUGUUUUCAA
ensembl:snRNA U6 U6 spliceosomal RNA